UUCUCGGGGUUCCCUUUCAUUUUGCGGCCACAACACUUGCAGACAAACAGUCCUCUGAGUGCACGCACACACGCACGCGCACACACACACACACACACACGGUCUCUCUCACACACGCGCCUCGCAGGAAGUACAGGCGGGAGGAAAUGACUCGUGAGGCCUCCUCAUUCUGCUGCCCGAGUGCUGCCCUCCCCCUCCUGCUCACACACCGUCCCAGCGCCUGCUGCCAUGAGGGUCCAAGUCUCCGUAUUCUUGUUCCUGGUCCUGGACCCAGUCCUGGUUCUGAAUCAGCAAGCUCCCACAGAUAACUCCCUGAAGGCGACGCCUUUGCUGGCUAAGACAAUCCUUGAGGAUAAGCAGGGGGCAAUCGUCAUCCCGACGCCCGAAGUGGGGCAGGACUCUGGAGUCAUGACCCCAUCUGACCCCAACUUGGAUUUGACAGAUGGAGACCAAGAUGCAGAGGUGGAAAACACAUCUAGCACAGCCACCACAGGGUCUGGAGGCUCCAGUUCCGGCAGCACGAGCACAACCGCUUCAGGCUCCAAGAGGCCUGUUACCCACAGAGAGCCCGGGAGCUCGGCCAGAUCAGGAGCCGGCCAAAGCCAAGAGGAAAUCUUCACUUACGAUUACCACUCCCUGCGCAAGUGGGGCCUGAUAGCCGCCGCCAUUCUCUUCGUCCUGGGCAUCCUCAUCCUCACCUGUGGUAAAUACGGGAAGCUCCCCGGAUGUGGGGGCCGGAAGCGGAGGAGCGCCUAUGACAUCUCACGGCUCUGAGGCACCCCCUGCUGGGGGAUCCGUUUGGGGAUCGGACACUGCUUGGAGGGGCCGGCUCGGAGCCCCACAGCGAUGCUGCAUACCUGGGGGCUGGGCAGAACCAGCAGCACAGACCCGAGGGCUGCCAAGUGUCCCCCGCUCCCCCCUCUGUGAUCUGCCUGUCAGCAGCACCCCAGCUCUGAUCACCCCGGCCUGGCCUCUCUAGCCCCCGGCUGACUCCCCAGCCUGUCCCCCAGGCCUGGAUCCUCCAUCCCUCUCCUUUCCCCCUCCCAGCCUUGUCCCCCCAUCCCUGUCCCCUCCCCCUUCCUGGCCUGGAUUCCCCAUCCUUGUCCCCCCCUUCAGGCCUUAUCCCCCCUAAAUCCGAGUCCCCAGCCUGCACCUGGCCUGUCUUCCCCAUCCCUGUCCACCCUCCCAGUCUCUGAGCGCCGGUCG
rnacentral:lncRNA from 1 species